rnacentral:pre_miRNA from 1 species
UAACUACUUCCUCCGUUCGGAAUUACUUGUCUCGGAAAUGGAUAUAUCUAGAACUAAAAUACAUCUAGAUACAUUCAUUUCUGCGACAAGUAAUUCCGAACGGAGGGAGUACAUG